GCCCCUGGCGGGCUCCCCUGGUUUCGGAGCCGCAGCGCUGAGAGGCGCCGCUAGGGUGCAGCAUUGCCUGCGAGAUCUGGCGGCAGAGCUCCCGCGCUACCCCAGCUGACCGCAGGUGUCCCAAGGCAACCAACCCUGGCGGCAGGAGACGUUGGAUUUCUGAAUUUCCGAGGCCAACUCAGGAAAGGGGGAGAGGAAGCUUUGAGAAAGACAAUAUCUCUAGCUGCGGAGAGCUGGAGAGACGGCCAGCAUUCAGAUGGAGAAGCCGCCGAUGUCAGCUUGGCAAACAUCAGUAUUCCGGGGGAGUCACCCCAGCCAGCUCCCAGGGGCCAAGAACCGUUUCGUCAUGUGUCAUUGCCAUCAGAAACACGUUCUGCCCUCUUAUUCCUGUUUAUAAUGAAAAUGCAUUUUAAUCAUGUGCAAUCUCCAGGAAAGAUGGUAACACAGAGAACGGUUAAAAAAAAAAAAAGAAACAAUAAAAAGCUAAAAAUAGAGACCAAA